GUAAAGCUACAUACGAAUAUUAUAUUUGGUUAAUUAAUAAAAAUUAUAUAGUUUUAUUUUUGUAGUAGUUAGGACUAUGAGUAUAAAGAAAUUUAAUAAUGGUUACUAAGUCGUUAGAAGAGACUAAAUCACAGUGCCAGCAGUCGCGGUUAAACUGUUUACUUCUCGUUUUAUUUGUAGGUUUAAAGAAUUAUUAAAUAAGCUAGAAAGUGUGUUAGUAAAAUAGGCUUUUGUCGGAAAAGAGUUUAAUAAUUUUUUUAGAGAGUCUAAGAAAAAUGGGGAUUGGAGACCCCUUUAUUGGACUUCGAAAUUUUAGUCCACAGUUAGAAACUGAAAGGGUUUGGCGGUAAACUAGAUUCGUCCGGGGGAAUGUGCAUAUUAAAGAGAUGAUCCGCUAAUUAUUUUACUAUAAUGAUUUCAGUUAGUGUAUAUCCGUUUGUAGAUUUACGUCGAGAGACAUUAAGUGAGUAGUAAUUAAAUAAUUUAAGACAGGUCUAUAUGCUGCUAAUAUUAUAGGUGGUUAUGCGUUACAAUAAUAAGUUAAGUGGAUGAAAUUCGCUUAAAAAUUUAGGACUCGGAAGUAGGAGUAAAAU
rnacentral:rRNA from 1 species